CUGGCGAUCGGGGGAGGGAGGUGUAAUAGCGUCCCAGCUUGACCCCCUGUCUCCGCGUAGGCGCCGCGCCUCAUUUGCAGACGCCGGAACCACAGAGGUUUGUCCCCCAACUAACAAGAAAACUCUCUACAGCUCGCCGCCUGCUAUGCAGCCAUCAAAGACUACAUUGCCCAGCGUGCAGCGCGGCAAGCGAGCGCCCCCGUUCCCUGUGACUGGCUGAGCAUUGCGUGGCGGGAGACGUAGUUCUCUUGAGCCCCUCCCCGCACUGGGAGGGCUGCUGUUCUCUGGUUUGGGGGGGGGCGGCGGAGGUCUCUGUUUUCCCUGGCGGGGCUGAUUGCUCCAUGCAUGAAGCAGGGCUCAGCCUUUCCGGCUGGGGAAGGAGGGGAAUUGCUCACCCCACCAGCUGCCUGCAGACCAGCCCCCGCCCCUGGGUUUCUGUAUUAAAGUGGUUUCAGAGCAGCAGCCGUGUUUGUCUGUAUCCGCAAAAAGAACAGGAGGACUUGUGGCAGCUUAGAGACUGACACUGACAGCAGCCUUCGCUGCUGUGCAAGAUGCCAGGAGAGGCGCCGGCAGACUGCUGCGCUGCUUCUCUGAUCCUGCUUUGGUGGAGGUGGCCAGUUACAGGCACAGCCCUGACCCCUGUAGACAAUUUUAAUUGAAUUACCAUGUUGGACUUUGACCAAGAGACUGGGCUUACAUCCAUGUGCCAUGGGAUCUUUACUUACCACAAGCUAUCAGGACUCUGGUUUUACAACUCUUCCAAAAAAUGGCUCCUCCAGCAGUAUGGUGGUCCUUAAUACUGUGGGAUUGAUUCAAUGUUGUCUCGGAAAAAUAGCACCGACUCACUAAAACCACGACCUAUAGUACCUAGGUGUCUCCUAAGAGAAUUAUAAGCAAGUAUAAAAUUUACCUAUACAGGGGCCAGCCUGGAACAGAAUAUCAUCUAUAGCAAUGUCACUUCUUAUUGACACUCCACGAACUGCUUCAACAAUAAUCUGUAAAAUAACCCAUAUAGUUUUCAUAAAUAUCACAUCUAGAAAAAAGUACACCUUUUUAAAAAUGCAAAACCCUGAUGCAGGCUAUUUUAAGAUAUAAUGCAACCCCAAUGCAAUUCUAAGAAAAAAAUUAUAUACUCAGUGAUUAGCAUAUUCUAAUAGACUUCAUUCUAACUAGUCCUAGAACUGGGAUGCUUGGGACACCCAGAAAAGGCCAAUCAAAUCUCAGAUUUUGGUAUGGAACUGUUUUGUCCUAAGGAUGACUGACAAAUAAUCGGUUAGUUUUCAUGAUGUAAUGUUUCUCUUGUUUUUUCAUUGCCCGAGUGUCGUCCUUAUCACCCGGGUAAGUUGUGAGGGCAUAAUUUUGUGAUAAACCAGCAAGUUCUUCCUCUUACUCCUGUAGUUGAAUUUAGCUCUUAAUAAAAAGCAAUUUUUUUCUAA